rnacentral:rRNA from 1 species
CAGGACGAACGCUGGCGGCGUGCCUAACACAUGCAAGUCGAGCGAGGAGAUUCCUUCGGGAUGAUCCUAGCGGCGGACGGGUGAGUAACACGUGGGCAACCUGCCUCAUAGAGAGGAAUAGCCUUCCGAAAGGGAGAUUAAUACCUCAUAACAUUGCAGUUUCGCAUGGAACAGCAAUUAAAGGAGCAAUCCGCUAUGAGAUGGGCCCGCGGCGCAUUAGCUAGUUGGUGAGGUAACGGCUCACCAAGGCGACGAUGCGUAGCCGACCUGAGAGGGUGAUCGGCCACAUUGGGACUGAGACACGGCCCAGACUCCUACGGGAGGCAGCAGUGGGGAAUAUUGCACAAUGGGGGAAACCCUGAUGCAGCAACGCCGCGUGAGUGAUGACGGCCUUCGGGUUGUAAAGCUCUGUCUUCAGGGACGAUAAUGACGGUACCCGAGGAGGAAGCCACGGCUAACUACGUGCCAGCCGCGGC